ensembl:lncRNA
CAGCCUUAUAGACAACAAACUCAGAUUUCACAGGUUAAAGACUUUUUGAAGUAAAGAGGAGCAUCUCAUCUGAACCUGAUGUCUAUCAUGGAUAUUUAACUGAAGUUCUGUGAGAAUCCCAACUUAACCAUGAAGCAUAUCUGCAAACUCAACAAACGGAUCUCCUCAAGGUAAGUCUGUUGGCUGUGUUUUGAUGAAGACCAUCGCUAGACUUCAGGAUCUUCCUCCGUUCAGCUCAAGGUGAGGCGCUGGUUCUGUUUUUUUCUUUGGUUGGUUCCGGCCGCAAUGUUCGGAUUCCAGUCGGACGGUUUGUGCUUCCCGCCGUGGAAGGUUCUGAGUGCGGUCACUUGAUUUAGUCCCAAUGGUUAGCAUAGAACGUU